AUACGGAGGAUCCGAGCGUUAUCCGGAUUUAUUGGGUUUAAAGGGUGCGCAGGCGGCCAUUUAAGUCAGCGGUUAAAUCGUGAGGCUCAACCCCAUUCUGCCGUUGAUACUGGGUGGCUUGAUUGCGGUCGAGGUUGGCGGAAUUCGUUGUGUAGCGGUGAAAUGCAUAGAUAUGACGAAGAACACCGAUUGCGUAGGCAGCUGACCAGACCGCAAAUGACGCUCAUGCACGAAAGUGCGGGGAUCGAACAGGUUUAGAUACCCUGGUAGUCCGCACAGUAAACGAUGAAUACUUGUUUUCGGCGAUAUAAUGUCGGAGGCAAAGCGAAAGCGAUAAGUAUUCCACCUGGGGAGUACGCCGGCAACGGUGAAACUCAAAUGAAUUGACGGGG
rnacentral:rRNA from 1 species